rnacentral:rRNA from 1 species
UACGUAGGGACCAAGCGUUGUUCGGAUUUACUGGGCGUAAAGGGCGCGUAGGCGGCGUGUUAAGUCACUUGUGAAAUCUCUAAGCUUAACUUAGAACGGUCAAGUGAUACUGAUGUGCUAGAGUGCAGAAGGGGCAACCGGAAUUCUUGGUGUAGCGGUGAAAUGCGCAGAUAUCAAGAGGAACACCUGAGGUGAAGACGGGUUGCUGGGCUGACACUGACGCUGAGGCGCGAAAGCUAGGGUAGCAAACGGG